GGUAAAGUAAGUAGUUCGUUUUAUCAAUUAUGUUUAACCUUGAUCAACCAGAGGGUUUCAAACUUUCAAUUAUCCAUCUUUAAUACUAAGCCUUUUUACAAAAUACGAGGGGUAAAUUACUCUGAAAAUCUUCGUACACUUCAUCAAAAAUCCCAAAAAAUCUUUGGAAAAAUCCCAAAAUCUUACUAAAUCCCAGAAUCCCCAAAUCCCAAGAAAUCUCUAAAAAUUGCAUAAAAUGCUUGGAAAAAGCCCAAUAAAAUCCUCAAAACUAUUGCAAUAUUGAGAAAUCCCAUUUAAACAUUUAAAUCGUGAAUUGGCGUGAGAAUGUCCUUUGUUGAUUUACUUCGUUUUAAAAAUAAUUCGACGGAUUAUAUGUCGCAAAAAAUGUCGGAAAAAGUUCGGCGAAAAAAAUAAGCGAAAAUAUUUCGAAAAAAUCAGCUGAAAAAAAUCCCAAAAAAAUCCCAAAAAAAUCCCAGAAUCCCGAGAAAAAAAUCCCAGAAUCCCGAGAAAAAUUGCCGGGAUUUUCUAAUCCCAAAAAUCCUCGUACGCUUUUUUCAGAGUAAUUUACCCCUCGACAAAAUAUAUAUAUACAUGUCUUUGUUGUUACUAAAUAUAUUUGUACUUUUUAAAUUUAUUAUUUUGUUAAACUGGAAGGCAACCUUUAUAAUAAAACUUUCUGUAGAG